CUAGUCCCAGUUACCGCUCUCUGGUAGCGUCCAAUCAGCAGGUUGAACGGGGCGCGCGACUCUCGCCAUUUCUUCUCGAGGAAUAUCGCGAGAGGGAACCGCCUCACCGCGGCGGUUGCGCUGGGCUCUCAGCGUGGCUCCGCCCCAGCGGUUCGCUGCGUUUUACCCGGGGCGGGGCGUGGAGCGGCGCGGCCUCGGCUCCAGCUCCAGACUCGGCCGGUUUGGCCCUGCUUCAUGGAUCCAGAAAAGGGUCUGUGCGUGGCCUGCAGUGGUUCAGAGCCGGUAACGUGCCAGGAACGCAUUACACGUGGCCAUAAAAUACCAGAGGAUAUUCAGACACCGGGCUUAUGUACAGAGAUGAAAAUAAAAAGUGCACAGAUGAACAUGGCAGCUUCGAGUCAAACCCAGCCUCUCACUGUAAAGUCAUAGGCAGAAGAUGGCACAGAGUUCUUCAGAAAUAUUUUAUGGAGCAAGGAAGUUGGAUAUACCAACAGGAGACUGCCUUUUCUCAGGGUCUGCCAAGUCUUAGCUGCCCAUCUGCAAGUAAAUAGUCUCUGGAGGAGCCCAGGAUCUGCAGAGAAGAAUUCAGCCAAGACAGCACAACAGAAGUCACACAAACCCCACUGCAUCGUCCUCUAUAAGGAAGACCAGGGCAAUUUACAGAGCCAAAGUCUGCUCUCCCUCAGGCAGUCUCAGAAGGAAGAGUGGGUCAACGACGGAGUGCUCCUGGACGUAUGUCUUCGUUCUGCAUGUGCCAAUGAGCUGGGAGAUGGGCACGGAUACACACCAUUAAUUAUGCUGAACAACUACUAUUAUUUUUAGUGCUUUUAAAUGCACAGGCAGUGGUUACUGUAUUGAACAGACACUGAUGACUGAGGUUUAGUUAAAAAUAAAACUACUCAGUGAGACAGAUCUCAUUUGUACAAGCGGAAGCAACCUAAGAGCUUGCCAAUUUUUGGCUGUCUGGAAUUCAGUACAUGCAGCACUGUUAAAAACUUCCUCGUGCAGAACUGCUUGGACUCGUUACAAGCUCACACACCUCUAUUACAACAUCCUCACAAACUUCCCCCCCCCGCGGUCCCUUCCCAGCCGUGCCGCA